CUUUCUUUGCUGGCGACCGGCGCACGGGUGAGUAACACGUAUCCAACCUGCCCUUUACUCGGGGAUAGCCUUUCGAAAGAAAGAUUAAUACCCGAUAGCAUAAUGAUUCCGCAUGGUUUCAUUAUUAAAGGAUUCCGGUAAAGGAUGGGGAUGCGUUCCAUUAGGUUGUUGGUGAGGUAACGGCCCACCAAGCCUUCGAUGGAUAGGGAUUCUGAGAGGAAGGUCCCCCACAUUGGAACUGAGACACGGUCCAA
rnacentral:rRNA from 1 species